GCAGAUUGGGAAUGUCAUAUACGAAGAGGUGAGUCGAGCGUGGAGUCGGGUCUGGUAAAAUUUCUGGCUUCUUUGCCUAACAUCAGUGCUCUUCUUUGCCUAUCUUUGUUUCGAGGAAGAGUGCCGUGCGUUAUGGCUUUCCGUUUGGUAGGAAGACAAAUGGUUGCUGGUGCUGGUAGGGAUGUGCUUGGAGCACCAACGACACAAAUCAGGGGAUACUGCCAGCAAACCUCCUCCGUUCCUGAUUACAUAGUUCGUCGUAGUGCUAAACUUUUUGUCACCGGGGCAGUAUUAGCUGUUACCGUCAUUUAUCUCGUGUAUGUAACUCACUUUUUACUUUUAUCCUAGAAAACUCCUCUUUUUGCUUGGUGAUCAGUUCUGUUUGUUUUUUAAUAAUCAACAAUGAAUAUUGUACUUUGAAAUCAAAUGGUACACCCCUAUACUAAUGGAUUUCCACACAAAUAUUAGCUUGAAUACAUAAUAUUUUCUUUACUAGGGUGUUAAAAUAUGAGGUAUAUCCC